rnacentral:lncRNA from 1 species
UUUUGCUUCCUGUCUGCCUGCAUGAGCUGGGACAUCUUAUCUCUCUGGCCCUAGAACUGGGAUUUACACCAGUGACUCCCCUGGUUCUCAGGCUUUCAGACUCAGACUGAAUUACACCGUGGGCUUUCCUGGGACUCUGAUGGCAAUUUGUGGGACUUCUCAGCCUCCGUAAUUGUUCUAAGACCCACAUUCCAGAGAGAGUCCUGCCCCAUCCCCAGAAGGAAGGAAUGCUGCUCAGAGAGGACAAGAAGAAUCUCGACAGACAGGCUUUGUGGAGUUUCCCCACACGGUCCAUUAGCAUUAGAUAAUACACGUUUUGUCCAACCGUAUUUCUACAGGCCUGUCCAUAUUCUAUGGAACCUAAGCAUAAAAAUGGAUAUUUUCCCCCACAUCUUUGGGUCUUCAUUCUUACGGUUCCUGUGUAUACAUGUAAAAUAGAUUCAUAUGCCUUUUCUCCAAUUAAUCUGCCUUUUGUGAGUUGACUUUCCAGCAAACUUCACAGGGCCAAGAGGAAGUUCUCUCUUGGCCUCCACAAUAUCCUACUGGUUCUCUUUCUCUGGACACCCUGACUAAUAUACUCCCAGACUAAAAACUCCAGGUGGAAUCUCAUGAGCACAUGCAAAGACUUGAUACCUGCUCUUCUAUUUCUGUAAUCUAAGAAUGGACUGAACAUUAGGACAACCAACUCUCACACUAUAUGACCAAGCCCCAUCCUCCCCUUCUACUGAGUACCCUAUUAGAUCAUUCCAUUAUCCCUUGGAUUUACUGAUAUGUGGGAAAAAUUCUUGGCUAAGACUUAGGCACCUGUGAGCCAUAAUUGAAACAUCACCAAAUGGUAUGGCUUUCCUUUCUAUGGAAGCUAUUAUUUCUUCCAUUCUCACCAAUUCAGUUCAGAAUGCUGUAAACUCCUUGCUCCCUUUUGCUACUUCUAGACUUUCUUCC